rnacentral:rRNA from 1 species
UACGGAAGGUGCAAGCGUUGUUCGGAAUGACUGGGCGUAAAGCGCAUGUAGGCGGGUCUGUAAGUCAGCUGUGAAAUCCCAGGGCUUAACCUUGGAAUUGCGGUUGAAACUACAGAUCUUGAAUACCUAAGAGGGUGGCGGAAUUCCGGGUGUAGUAGUGAAAUACGUAGAUAUCCGGAGGAACACCAGAGGCGAAGGCGGCCACCUGGUGGUGUAUUGACGCUGAAGUGCGAAAGCGUGGGGAGCAAACAGG